GAUGAAGAACGUAGCGAAAUGCGAUAAGUAAUGCGAAUUGCAGAAUCCGUGAGUCAUCGAAUCUUUGAACGCACAUUGCGCCCUCUGGUAUUCCGGAGGGCAUGCCUGUUCGAGCGUCAUUAUCACCCCUCAAGCCCGGCUUGUUGUUGGAUGCAGCGCUUAUCCCGCUCCUCCCAAAGAUAAUGACGGCGUCUGCGACGACUCCUGUACACUGAGCUUUCGGGCACGUACACGGCUAGAAGUCCAGACCCGGUCGCCGUCCCCCCCGCGGAGACACCCAUUACCACAAGGUUGACCUCGGAUCAGGUAGGAAUACCCGCUGAACUUAAGCAUAUCAAUAAGCGGAGGA
rnacentral:misc_RNA from 1 species